rnacentral:rRNA from 1 species
GUCCAGACUCCUACGGGAGGCAGCAGUGGGGAAUAUUGCACAAUGGGGGAAACCCUGAUGCAGCAACGCCGCGUGAGUGAAGAAGUAUUUCGGUAUGUAAAGCUCUAUCAGCAGGGAAGAAAAUGACGGUACCUGAGUAAGAAGCCCCGGCUAACUACGUGCCAGCAGCCGCGGUAAUACGUAGGGGGCAAGCGUUAUCCGGAUUUACUGGGUGUAAAGGGAGCGUAGACGGCGAUACAAGUCUGAAGUGAAAGCCCGGGGCUCAACCCCGGGACUGCUUUGGAAACUGUGUUGCUGGAGUGCUGGAGAGGCAAGCGGAAUUUCUAGUGUAGCGGUGAAAUGCGUAGAUAUUACGCAGAACUCCGAUUGCGAAGGCAGCAUACCGGCGCGCAACUGACGCUCAUGCACGAAAGCGUGGGUAUCGAACAGGAUUAGAUACCCGGGUAC